rfam:Fukomys damarensis contig106636, whole genome shotgun sequence.
GGAUGUGAGGGCAAUGUGGCUGCGACAUCUGUCACCCCGUUGAUCUCCAGGGUCGAUUCGGCUAAUCUGGCUGCCCUGGCGGGUGUCCCCUUCCUCCUCACCGCUCCGUGUGUGUCCCUCCCAAGGCUGCGCUCGGUCAGCGUGGGUGGAAGAGGACGACCACCCCCGAUAGAGGAGGACCGUUGCCUGGGUCAAGGGUGUACGAAUAGCUGCGCUCCCUGCUAGAACCUCCAAACAAGCUCUCAAGAAAACCUGCUUGGCCCAGUGUGAGUUCAGUGUUAACUCUUAAGCCAGUGGAUUGCAGCUGGGGGAAGCACGCAUAUAUGGGGGGCUGCCUUUUCCU